rnacentral:rRNA from 1 species
UACGAAGGGGGCUAGCGUUGUUCGGAAUUACUGGGCGUAAAGCGCGCGCAGGCGGUUUUUCAAGUCAGGGGUGAAAUCCUGGAGCUCAACUCCAGAACUGCCCUUGAUACUGGCGGUCUCGAGUCCGGGAGAGGUGAGUGGAACUGCGAGUGUAGAGGUGAAAUUCGUAGAUAUUCGCAAGAACACCAGUGGCGAAGGCGGCUCACUGGCCCGGUACUGACGCUGAGGUGCGAAAGCGUGGGGAGCAAACAGG